rnacentral:rRNA from 1 species
UACGUAGGGUGCAAGCGUUGUCCGGAAUUAUUGGGCGUAAAGAGCGUGUAGGCGGCUUGUUAAGUCUUGCGUGAAAUCUCGGGGCUCAACCCCGAGCGGUCGUGAGAAACUGGCAGGUUAGAGUGCGGGAGAGGAGAGUGGAAUUCCUGGUGUAGCGGUGAAAUGCGCAGAUAUCAGGAAGAACACCCGUGGCGAAGGCGGCUCUCUGGAACGCAACUGACGCUGAGACGCGAAAGCGUGGGGAGCAAACAGG